CCGGAGAAGGAGCAUGAGAAACGGCUACUAUUUCUAAGGAAAGCAGCAGGCGCGCAAAUUAUUCAAUGGAAACAAUUUUCCGAAAUAGUGACAAAAAAUAUCAAUGCUGGAUACUAUGUAUCUAGUAAUUGGAAUGAGUACAAUUUAAAUCCCUUAACAAGUAACAAUUAGAGGGCAAGUCUGGUGCCAGCAGCCGCGGUAAUUCCAGCUCUAAUAGCGUAUAUUAAUAUUGUUGCAGUUAAAAAGCUCGUAGUUGAAAUUUGGGACUUUAUUAUAUUGGUUAAUCUUUUGAUGAACUGUAUGAUGGGUUUUCUUCCUACUUAGAAUUCGAUUCUGUUCUUAAUUGAAUGGAGUAGCUAUCUCUCGGGGUGGUCAAUUGGUUGUUAUGUCUCCACUAAUGAGCGGA
rnacentral:rRNA from 1 species